UAUGAAGAGAUGGAGAUAGGCACCAUAUGAACUGGUGGACCCUAAUCUGUUGGAGUUCCCAGCUCUUGUUGUGUGUGACAGCAAAAUAUGACUUACCUGUGCAGCAGAGCACAUCAGUAAUAUCUACCAGGGAAAAUAAUUUAAAUACCUUGGGAAGUGUACCAUAUGAAAUGAAGAUAAUGAGAACCACCUCCCAUAGUGGCUGAGGAAUGAUCAUCUAUCACACAUGCAGAAUGCAGAAGAUCCUUGCAGAUCCAGCAGACCAAGAGCAAGGUCAAAGGAGAGAUUCCAGGGAAGGUUCCAUUACAUGGAGUACCAAAUGGUGUUAGAGGAUUCUUCAUGCCAAAGUCACUUAGAGUGAACUGGGGUCAAGUUCAAAUAUGGGUCUUACACUUGUCCUCUGUGGGGUGAGCAUCAGGAUUUAUUGUGCUAUGGAAGAUUCUGUAACUGAUAAGGAAUUGUACUGAG
rnacentral:lncRNA from 1 species